AGUGAACGCUGGCGGUAGGCCUAACACAUGCAAGUCGAACGGCAGCACAGUAAGAGCUUGCUCUUACGGGUGGCGAGUGGCGGACGGGUGAGGAAUACAUCGGAAUCUACUUUUUCGUGGGGGAUAACGUAGGGAAACUUACGCUAAUACCGCAUACGACCUACGGGUGAAAGCAGGGGAUCUUCGGACCUUGCGCGAUUGAAUGCGCCGAUGUCGGAUUAGCUAGUUGGCGGGGUAAAGGCCCACCAAGGCGACGAUCCGUAGCUGGUCUGAGAGGAUGAUCAGCCACACUGGAACUGAGACACGGUCCAGACUCCUACGGGAGGCAGCAGUGGGGAAUAUUGGACAAUGGGCGCAAGCCUGAUCCAGCCAUACCGCGUGGGUGAAGAAGGCCUUCGGGUUGUAAAGCCCUUUUGUUGGGAAAGAAAAGCAGCAGGUUAAUACCCCGCUGUUCUGACGGUACCCAAAGAAUAAGCACCGGCUAACUUCGUG
rnacentral:rRNA from 1 species